rnacentral:rRNA from 1 species
AGAACGAACGCUGGCGGCAUGCCUAAUACAUGCAAGUCGAACGAACAACUUCGGUGUUAGUGGCGCACGGGUGCGUAACGCGUGGGAAUCUGCCCUUGGGUUCGGAAUAACAGUUGGAAACGACUGCUAAUACCGGAUGAUAUCGAAAGAUCAAAGAUUUAUCGCCCAGGGAUGAGCCCGCGUAGGAUUAGCUAGUUGGUGAGGUAAAGGCUCACCAAGGCGACGAUCCUUAGCUGG